rnacentral:rRNA from 1 species
AGCGAACGCUGGCGGCAGGCCUAACACAUGCAAGUCGAGCGCCCCACAAGGGGAGCGGCAGACGGGAGAGUAACACGUGGGAACGUACCCUUCAGUUCGGAACAACCCAGGGAAACUUGGGCUAAUACCGAAUACGUCCGUAAGGAGAAAGAUUUAUCGCUGAAGGAUCGGCCCGCGUCUGAUUAGCUAGUUGGUGAGGU